AACGCGAAGAACCUUACCUACCCUUGACAUGCCAGGAACUCUGCUGAGAGGCGGAGGUGCCCGAAAGGGAGCCUGGACACAGGUGCUGCAUGGCUGUCGUCAGCUCGUGUCGUGAGAUGUUGGGUUAAGUCCCGCAACGAGCGCAACCCUUAUCAUUAGUUGCUACGCAAGGGCACUCUAGUGAGACUGCCGGUGACAAACCGGAGGAAGGUGGGGAUGACGUCAAGUCCUCAUGGCCCUUAUGGGUAGGGCUUCACACGUCAUACAAUGGCGCAUACAGAGGGUCGCCAACCCGCGAGGGGGAGCCAAUCUCAGAAAGUGCGCCGUAGUCCGGAUUGCAGUCUGCAACUCGACUGCAUGAAGUCGGAAUCGCUAGUAAUCGCGAAUCAGCGAUGUCGCGGUGAAUACGUUCCCGGGUCUUGUACACACCG
rnacentral:rRNA from 1 species